CGAGCAUUUCAGCAUUUUUUGGUAGCCCACGAUUGCGCUUUUCAUUGUAACUCUCCUCAGAAAAUAACCUCUCACUACAAACGCUACUUCCAGGUGAAGAAAGACAAGUUUUUGCAAAUUGCAAAAGAUUUCGGGUAUUGUUUUUUGUUUGCUGAUCACCACUUGUAAGGAUCGGCCAUCCGAUCUAGGCGAACUAUUAUCAAAUAAAAAUUCAACUCGUUUGCCACAGCAUUCUGCCUCCUAAUACAGUGAAACCUGGUUAAGUGAGACUUCAAGGGUCCUGCAAUAUUGUUUCACUUAUAGAGGUAUUCCACUUACCCAGUGUCUCAGAUAUACAGGUAUAAAUAAAUAUCUGUCUCAUUUACAGAGGGUUCCAUUAAUAGAGGUGAGAAUACAGGUUAUUUCAGUUAUACAGGUGCGAUCAUUAAAUAAAAUUUAUAUAAUAUAUAAUUUUUAAUUAAGUAAA